AUUGAACGCUGGCGGCAGGCCUAACACAUGCAAGUCGAACGAGUGGCGGACGGGUGAGUAAUGUCUGGGAAACUGCCUGAUGGAGGGGGAUAACUACUGGAAACGGUAGCUAAUACCGCAUACCAUCAGAUGUGCCCAGCUGGGAUUAGCUUGUUGGUGGGGUAACGGCUCACCAAGGCGAAGAUCCCUAGCUGGUCUGCGAGGACGACCGGCCACGCUGGAACGGAGACACGGUCCAGAGUCCUAGGGGAGGCAGCAGGGGGGAAUAUUGCAAAAGGGGCGCAGGCCUGAUGCGGCAAUGCCGCGUGGAUGAAGAAGGCCUUCGGGUUGUAAAGUACUUUCAGCGGGGAGGCGUUACCCGCAGAAGAAGCACCGGCUAACUCCGUGCCAGCCGCCGCGGUAAUAC
rnacentral:rRNA from 1 species